rnacentral:tRNA from 1 species
GCUUUUUUAAUAUAAUAAUUAUAGAUGACUUCCACUCAUCCAAUCUCAGAUGUACCUGAGAAAAAGUA